UGAAGGACAUUACUUCUUGGGAUGUUUGAGUCUCAACUUGUUUGGCUGAUGCGGUUGAUGUGGUACUUUGUGAGGUUUGACUGUUGGUGUUGGUAGCAGCAUUGUUGGUAGUAGUUCCAGUGGGUGUACUCGGUGUAGUGGGUGUACUCGGUGUAGUAGGUGUACGUGUAGUGGGUGAGGUGGGUGUACUGGGUGUAGGUGUAGUGGGUGUGGUGGGUGUACUGGGUGUAGGUGUUGUGGGUGUAUUGGGUGUAGGUGUAGUGGAUGUUCUCGGUGUACUGGGUGUAGGUGUAGUGGGUGUUGUGGGUGUACUGGGUGUAGGUGUAGUGGGUGUACUCGGUGUAGGUGUAGUGGGUGUUGUGGGUGUAGGUGUAGUGGGUGUACUGGGUGUAGGUGUUGUGGGUGUUGUGGGUGUUGUUGGUGUUGUGGGUGUUGUGGGUGUUGAGGGUGUUGUGGGUGUUGUGGGUGUUGAGGGUGUUGUGGGUGUUGUGGGUGUUGCGGGUGUUGUGGGUGUUGUGGGUGUUGGGCUGUCAUCAUCUUUUUCACCUCCAAUAACAUCAUUAACAUCAACGUCAAGCCCGAGAUUCGAUGUAUCAAUCGUCUUUCCUGCUGUCUCCACGGCCGUUUUCACAACUGUAACGACUGUUUUAGUCCAUUGCACCAAAGCCACGAUCAACACUUUCCUUUGCUUAUAUGUUACAGGCUGCGUACCAGCUUUCUUCUGCUCAAUCAAUGUCUUUCCCAUUGACAGUAUGGUCUCUCUGAAAUCUUUACUCACCUGUUCCACAACAAAGAUCAUUAAGAAAAUUAUAGAAUCUCAUUACUUACUUAAAAAUAUUAUUUAUGCAUAGGCAAGUAAAACAUUUGCAUAUGGCUCCUAAAACUUAAGAAAAGAAAAGGAAAACAAUCUCAGGGUUAUGGUAAUUGGUACUUACGUCUUUUCUAGCACCAGUCAAUACAGAUACAGCAUUGGCGAGGCCGUCGGCUUUUGUUGUUAGCUGAGAAUCGGUGGUUUUCGAAACCGUUGCCGUUUUGAUAAAGUUCACGUAAGAUAUGAACAGUGAAAAGAAAGUCUUGAACCCCUUAGUCGCGGGACAUCCACCUUUAAGUCUGUUCAACAAAAAUGUCAUACCUUUGCAUGCGAAAGGUGUAAACUGCAUUGCCUUUUUGAAAAACUUCCUCCUCAAGUACAUCUUUAACAAGAACGUUCCUUGCGCCUCGUAGAUCACACUUGAUACUAAUAUAAACAUCAGACAUAAUGCUAGUACGUUUUUAUUAGCCAUUUUGGUUUUUUUCUUUUUUCUUUUCUUUUUUUGUUAUAUAAAUGUUUUUCUUUCUUUUUUUGAGUUUUUGAUGAUUUGAGUUUCUUGGAGAGUUGUGUUUAUAUAGAUGGUUUGAGAAAUCUAUUUUAAGUGAAACGGAGAAAAUUGUGGAUUACUUUAAGGUCGCUAGAGAAUAAUAGCAUAAGUGGUUCUCUCAUGUUUCAUUUUCUUUUAUGAAUUUAUGUUGCCGUCCGCGUUUCUCUUCAUUCUAUAUUUAGAAUGAUCAAAUUAUAAUAUACUUGAGAAAUUGAUUUGUUCAACUGUGUGCAAACAAUACAUGCUAAAGUUUUGGUCAUGCUUGUUUAAGCUCUUGACUUAUCCGUCACACGAGUCACACCCAACAUGCGCUUGUUACAACAUUUUCGACUAGUGAUACUAUGUGUAUAUCUAAAUUGGGCUUUAAAUGUUGUUAGGUGGUCUGGGCAAGUUGCAAACUAACCCCACGGGGUUGUAUCUUUUUUUUAAGCUGAAGGCCAUUUAAAUUUUUUUUAUUAAUAUGUGUAUAUAUUCUGAUAACAAAUAGCACGUAACUUGAAUUGAAACAACGAGUAAAUACCUUCCAGCUAUGUUAUGUUAGUGCUCCUAUUAGAUUAGGAUGCCGCUUUUAUCAUAUGAGUACGGGUUAGACUGGCUAUCAGGAUAUCCAAUUACAUACAAUUAAUAUGAACUCUUAAAUACGAUUGUGUAUAAACUUCUAACUAGCUGUAUUGUAACAUUUAUGCUUCAGAACUUUUACUCGUCAUAUGUUUCAGAACUUUAAUGUUUCUUACAUUUUUUUUUGCUUUUAAAUGCAUGUGCAAACGAUUUUGUGAAAGGUUUAUGUUCGCACCAUUUGAUUUUCGAUCAACUGUUAACAAAAGAUUUUAUCGAUACAAAGAAGAGCCCCACUUGUAGAAAUAGUUAGAGAAGUUCCAAGGUGAGUCGUUAAUAGUGCCGGCCUGUUUGAACUGAAUUAUUAAAUACUAAUAUGCAUUCAUUUUCUCGUAUGCCAAAUAUAUAUGUAUAUAUAUUACGUAUUUAUAUGAACAUAACCUAAAUAUUAGUGUAUAAUGAAAAGAAUGAUCAUAAUUAACUGAAUUAAUCAGUUUAUUAAAACAAGGUUUAGUGGAGGCCAUCUAGUUCAUGUCUCCAAACGGCCAAACAUAACCAGACAGAAGACCAUUAAGCCACUAAGUAACCCAUUUCGCACUUUCCUUCCCUCCAAACUCCCCAUUUUCGAUAAUAUUUGCAUACUAUUCAAUAUUUUUGUCUUCAUUCAUCUUACACUUAGUUUGAUGUUUAAGGCGUAAACAUUUCCGUGAAAGUAUUUUUAUUCAAUCAUUGAUUAAAUGAUAAGUCUAAUGGCUCAUAUUGGUUGACGUUGGAAAGCGUAAGACACAAAGGGUGUGACUUUUAAAAAAUCGGAGUUUCUGAACCAAACAGAACCAAGAUUUUCGGUUUUUAGUCUUAGUUUGGCUACUUAGUACCUACUGAGGUUAAACAGAUCGAUAUUUAUUUCUUUCUUUCACCUCACAUACUUUAAAUUUAAAAACUGAUGACUAAUUACCACAUACUGUGCAUCUAAUUUACCUUUCAAUUUAGCUACCAGUUAACUGUGAAUGUUUUCAAGACAAGAUUAUUUAUGCUCAUAAAGGAGCUAAUGAAGAAGAGAAGAACUGAAUAUAAACAUAGCUCAAUGAGCUUUAUUAGCAAAAGAACUAAAAGAAGAUAAAACGUAAGUUGUCACCAGUCGCAAACAGAUUUGGUUAGCAAAAAAAUGUAGAAGGAGAAUUGCUUGUAAUGAAACCCUAGAACACAUGGGCUUAUGACUAUGCUUUGGGCUUGUCUUCAAUAUUAACGACUUAUAUUCAAGACAUUUAGCCUUUAUACAACUUUAUUAGCAUUAAGAAUAUGAUCACAUUAAAUAGCCGGCUUUGUGCUGAAUCAAAGUAUGCAUUUUUAAUGCCAGGCUAAACUUGGGGAGAACAAUUGUUGUCGUUUUCGUAUAGCUGCAGCAAAAAAAUAUUUGGAGAGUACAAUACAUGUAACUAAUGCACUAUUUCUGAAAUUAAGGCUAAUACUUGGGCUUACAUCUGUGUUUGAAAGCAAUAUGAAAUAUACGAAAAAGUUAGUGGAACUUGGUUUUAGUUUGGAUAGUACGAACUACUAAGCUUUAUUUAUUUUUGUUACUUACUUAGUUCGUGCCUUUGUGCCCGUGGAUUAACCAUGCUAUUUUGCAUCACGGAUUCUUAAGAAAAUCCUGAAAUUUCCUAAGACUAGAACUUAUAGUUAACACUGAUACACAUCAUUACAUGAGUUAUCAAAAAUUGAACAUAAUAUAAUGGAAGUUGGGUUAAAAAUGUUAUUGUUGAGUCUACGAAUACGCGUGGCGAAAUUCUUUCUUGCUUUUUUUUUUUUUAAUUUAGUAUAGUGAAAAUCAGAAGACACGAAAGACUGAGAAAAACAAAUUAUAGUCUAAAAAAAUUAACAAAAUCAAGAACAAAGGCUUAAACUCUCAACAUUAAAAACAACUUUAUCAGAAAUUUCACCCAAAAAAAAACUAAAUGUUAAAUUAAUAUCUCAACCAUAAACAUGUGUUUCAUCAUACAAAUCAUAUUUCUUUUAUUACGUCAAAAAUCUCGCCCUAAAAAGUAAUCCAUCAAAGUUAUUAAAAAAAGAGAGACAUUGGGAUGUUUUUACAUAGCACUAGUACAUGCUGCAUGCACCUAUUGAGUUACCAUCAUGUUCACAAUUUCACACAAUCAGACGGAGCAAGUAUGACAACAUAGACCUCCACCUUUGUGUUUCUUUAAUAUCAAACCUCAUUUGUUUAUGAUAAAAUCCUCUUUUCUGUUUUAUAACCAGUCAAACCAUACAUUUACUCACACAUAUAUUCGUAUAUAUAUUAUGUUUUCCGUCAUGUUUGAAUUGUACAUCGACUUGCAAGUUUCGAGUUUUAAUUUAAUGUUUUUGUUUAUACAUAGUGGGAAGAUUACACUGUAGUUAUUUAGGCCAUUUUUAUUAGGCAUUUAGGUUAUGCUAACAGUCAAUCACGAGAAUCUAGAUUGAUACAAGCGGACAUAGAUAUUAUUUGGAGUCUGUAACGUGACUUGAAUCAGCCAGCCUAUACGAAUAGUUUCAAAUCCAUGUAACCAUUGUGUCCACCUUAGGAUCUUUAGAGUGGGCAGGUAUAGUUAAAAGUAACCAAACUUCGAAUUUUAGUAAGAAAUAGGUUCCUGAAUAGGCAGAAAACAUUUUAUCAGUGACAGUAACUUUGAUCCAUUACCCAUAAAAAUACUUGAAUUUUUUUUUGUAACUUAAAAGUACUUAUAGUUAUGCAAUGCUGCUUUUCACAUUUGCCAUUAUCAUUUUAUUACUGCUUUGAAGUUACAUCACUUUUGAAUUUUUACUUUUAUACUAAAUUUAAGUUAUCAACCAUAAUAUGUUUAUCUUGUAAUAUCCAAAUUGUGGAAUAACUGGCUACUACUAAAUUUUAAAUUUGACUAAUUCUAAUAGUAAACAAUAAUAUGAAUAUCAUAAACAUACGAAAUGUCAUAGACAAUGAUGAAAAUUCAGGUUUACAUUUUUAUGCUUCCUAAUACUAUAUAUUAAAAAUCAAUGUGUUUUUUUUUUUGUUUUAGUAUUUUGAAAUAUUUUAAUGUAAAUCAAAAGAUAUUUAACAACAAAAAUCAUAUCUGAUGAGUGUCAAACUCUUUUUUUGGAACGUCCGGAGUUUAAAUGAUCCGGAUAAGCAUCGGCCUUUUUCUUCUUGGCUUCUUACCCACAAACCUCUUUUUGGUGCACUUUUAGAAACUCAUAUUAAGGAACUAUCUUUGCCUCCCAUUAUGUCCAAAAUCUGUAACACUUGGAAUUAUGUCUCCAACCAUUCCUCUGAUGAAGAUGGAAGGAUCGUUCUUAUCUGGAAAGAUCCGCUCAGACUGCAAGUUGUGAAGCAAAGUAGACAAUCCAUGACUUGUACGCUCACUCUCCCAAACAAAGAACCAGUUUAUUUCACCUCAGUCUACGCGGCUAAUACAAGUGAGGAAAGGGUGGAUCUCUGGGUUGAGUUGAUGCAACUUCACGCUUCUCUAAACCUUGACAGCAAGCAAUGGAUCAUUGGGGGUGAUUUUAACCAAAUCACUCACCCUGCUGAUCACUCUUCCCCAACUGUAAACACUCCUGACAACCUUAUGUACCAGUUGCAAGACUGCUUCAUUCAAUGUGGGGCUUUUGACCUGAGAUACAAUGGACCCCCGCAUACCUGGACCAACUAUCAGCCUUCUUACCCGAUUGGAAAAAAACUUGACCGUCUCCUUGUAAACUCCCCCACAAUCUCCUCCCAUCCUCAGGCUUUUGCCUCCUUCCUACCUCAGUUGUUCUCUGAUCACUCGCCUUGCCUGCUAGACCUCGCUUUUACCCUACCUAAAGCUGGAACUAAACCCUUCAAAUUCCAAAACUACCUCACCAAACAUCCCAACUUUCUGGAGGUGGUUUCACGCGCAUGGGUUGAGGCCGGAAACAUUUGUUCGACUCUGACACAGCUUUGUUGGAAACUGAAAAUCAUAAAGAGUGACUUAAAAAAUUUAAAUAAAGAGAACUAUUCUAAAUUUCAAGAGAGAGUUGCUGACACUUACAGUUUGCUUCAAUGUGCGUAGGUACUAGCUCUUCAAUCCCCAACACCGCUUCUGUUCCAACAAGAACGUGAUCUACAUCAAAAGUGGCUGUUCCUAAGACAAAUUGAAGAGAGUUACUUCAGGCAGAAAUCCCGGAUAAACUGGUUAAGUGAAGGUGAUUUCAAUACUACCUUCUUUCACCGCAUGUGUCAAGUUAGAGAAAGCUACAAUGCUAUCCGGUCGUUCCUGUCCAGCAAUGGAAUCCUGGUUACUGACCCGAUGGAAAUGAGUGAACUAGCGGUAGAGCACUUCAAAGCGAUUCUAGGUCCGUCAAACUACUUGAGACCUGCUAUCUGGUCCCCUCACUCCUGGUUUGCGGAUCUCAUUCAGUUCAGAUGUUCCCUGCAACAAUCCCAGCUAAUGUUAUCAGUACCAAGUGCUGAUGCAAUAAGAGCAAUGUUCUUCAAGCUAAACCCAAAUAAAGCUCCUGGGCCUGACGGAUUAACCUCUGGUUUCUACAAAGCAAGUUGGGAAACUAUAGGGCGAGAGGUGGUGGCUGCAACACAAAUUUUUUUCCAUUCUGGGUUCCUUCCUACCACAACUAAUGCCACCAUUCUUUCCCUCAUACCAAAGUUUCCGGGUGCUACAAAAGUUUCAGAUUACAGGCCAAUUGCUUGUCUAAACACAGUUUAUAAGGUGAUUUCAAGGAUGUUGGUUGCGAGAUUAAAGCCUAUCCUGCAAGACCUAAUUCUACCUUGCCAAACGGCGUUUGUGAAAGAUCGCUUGCUAGUGGAAAAUAUUGUUUUAGCUGGGGAGUUAGUUCAUGGCUAUCAUAAGAACAAAGGAAUUCCGAGAAUUACCAUCAAAGUAGACAUCGCCAAGGCUUUCGACACUCUCUCCUGGGAAUUCCUCUUCACUUGUCUUGAAACUCUACACCUGCCUCCUCAUUUCAUCACCUUGCUCAGGGCUUGUGUCUGCAAAACAAGUUUCAUGGUUGGUUACAAUGGAACGGUCAACGGUUAUUUUAAAGGCAAAAGAGGCCUGAGACAGGGAGACCCUCUUUCUCCCUAUCUUUUUGUAAUCGCCAUGAACUGCCUCUCUUUUAUGCUAAACUCUGCAGCUGCUCAGGAAAAAAUCAAAUACCAUGCUAACUGUAAGAAGAUGAAGAUGACGCACCUAUCAUUUGCUGAUGAUCUCCUCAUUUUCAUAGACGGCUCGAUCGAAUUUGUCCAACAGGUGCUGCAUGUUCUUAAAGAGUUUGAGCAAAGGUCCGGGCUCGCAAUAAGUAUGCAGAAAUCGAGCUUCUUUGCCUCAGGGCUCCCUGACCAAGUCAUUGACACAAUCCAAGCUUCUACUGGUAUGAUCUGCGGAGAGCUCCCGAUUCGCUACCUAGGGGUGCCUUUGAAUUCCAGAAAGUUAAACCUUGUCAGCUGUGAACCUCUGAUCCAUCAAAUAAAAAAGAGACUUUCCUCAUGGUCAGUCAAAUCCUUAUCUUUCGCUGGAAGACUACUGCUAAUAAAAACAGUGAUAGCAGGAAUUACUACCUUUUGGUGCUCGGCUUUCAUUCUUCCCAAAGCUUGCGUGAACCGGAUAAACUCUUUAUGUAGUGUGUUUCUUUGGAAAGGGGAUAUCACAAGCCACAACACCGCAAGGGUAGCUUGGGAGACUGUCGUGUUAACUAAGCAGCAAGGUGGUCUUGGUGUAAAGGACCUCCAAACAUGGAACAAAGCAUGCUGUUUGAAACUUGUGUGGCUUCUGUUUUUCAGGUCUGGCUCGAUCUGGGUUGCAUGGUUUAUAGAGGUAAUCCUUAAAGGCUCAAUACACAACUAUUGGACAACCAAACCGAAGGCUUCCUUCUCCUGGCUCGCAAACAAGUUGCUCAAGCUCAAAGAUGUAGUCUUCCCGCUCAUCAAGCUUCGACUGGAGAAUGGUAUGUCGGCACGGUUCUGGUUUGAUAAUUGGUCGCCUUUUGGAAGCAUUGCUACCUAUCUCAACUUGACUGGCUCAAGACUUGGCAUCCCACUAUCUGCAACGGUAGCUUCUCUCUAUAGGAACGGUAACUGGCGUCUCCCACCUGCAAGAUCAGAGCAACAAACCCAACUUCAGAUUCACUUGACGACUGUCAAUUUAACUUCAGAUAAAGACUACUUCGAAUGGGAAAUUGAUAGUAGGGUCACCACCACCUUCUCAACUGGUGAUGUCUAUACCUAUCUUAGAGGAACAGUGAAUGAGGUUGACUGGGCUACUGUGGUUUGGAACUCUUAUGGGAUCCCUCGUCACAACUUCCACACAUGGCUAAUGAUUUUGGAUAGGUGCCCGACGAGAGACCGCUUGCUUCGUUGGGGAAUCUCAGUUUCACAUCUCUGCUUGCUGUGUAACAAUGCUUCUGAGAGCCGUGAUCACAUCUAUUUCGACUGUAACUUCUCCUUCGACUUAUGGGCAAUAAGCGCGAGGAGAUGUGGGCUCACUCCAAACCGUUCCUGGUCAGACACCAUCACGCAACUGAAAAGCCUCCCAAUGGACCGUUCAUCGAGACCUCAUAGACUUCUUGUCCUCCUAGCUUGGCAAUCUACGAUUUAUUGGGUCUGGAAUGAGAGAAACGCACGGUUGCACUCUAACACCUAUCGCUCCAUCGACUCUCUCUUCAAAACUAUUGAUCUUCAGAUUAGAAACAGAACUCAGAGUUUCCGGGUGACUAACCCAAGACUGUCUUCCCAACUACUACAGUCCUGGAUCCGACUUGCAUGAUUUAAAUCAGGUCCCGAUCUUCCCUCUGAAAUCUCCGCCUCACCCCAACUCUUUCUGCGUCUUUUGGAAGAAAAAGACAAAUUGUCGUUCGGUUUACUCCAACUUUGAUUUUGGUAAUACGGGCCAUAUAUCAGUUCCAAACUAUGAGUUUUUUAGUGGGUUUGUAUUUUUAACUUAAGUCCAACGGGCUUGUAAACGUUUUUAUUUUUCUUUGCAGUUAAUUUGAAAGCCAAUUUUCAAAAAAAAAAAUCAUAUACAUGGAAAUAUGAAGGUGAGUGUGGAAAUUUCAAUUUAAAAAAUUUGGCAUCCGGAAAUUUCUAAUUGAUAUAAGAAAUAAAAUAUUAAAUUGCACUGAUUUUUUUUUUAAAAAACCUUUCAAAAUAGCUUUAUAUGUUUAAUAUAUUUAGUAUAAACUAAUUUGUUUUCGUAACAAUGUAAAGCUUACCAACAAUUCUUUUGAUUCUUUCAAAAUAGUAAAAUUAUCAUUCUGUAUAGAAUGAAAUCAUGUUUGGUUAGUAGAAUGAACUAAUAAAUAAAAGUUCAUAGAAAAUAAAUUCUCUAUACAAGAAAAAGACAAUGAAAUUAAACAAAAGGCCAUAAAAAACUAUUCCUUAUUUUAAGAAAUCGUUUAAAAAAGGUUAUAUCCGAAAAGUUGCCUCCCUCACGCCCCUUCAAAGGGGACGACUACAAGCUAGAAGGAGUCAAUGCAAAGAAAUUACUACCAAAUGGCAAAAGAAGUUUCUGUAGACUUUAUAAAGAAUGAAACAUUUCUGAAAAAUUCUUGAAUCAUUUUCUAAAACGCGACAUUCUUUCUGCGACUUUUCAGGAAGAGAGAUUUUGGAAACCAGACAACGAGGCUGAAUACGAACCAGAAGAAGAAUCUCGAUGAUGAUCUUGUCCUCCUAGCUUUAAUAAUCAUCCCUGGUUGGUCCUCACAAGAAUAAAUAAUCCUCUGUUUUGGUCCUCUGUUUUGUCUCUGUUUUGUUCUAAUCCUCUGUUUUCGUCCUCUGUUUCGUCUCUGUUUUUUUCACCAUUCUUUGCUGGUAAUUCGUUACGAUCUCUCUUUCGUCUUUUUUUUACGCAAAUCUCGAUAUAUCUCAUUGAUUUCACCAAACCCUUGUCUCCAAAUCUCAUUAUUUCAAUUUUCAUUCCCAAAAACAAAAAGAAAAUCUCUUUUUUUUAAAAAAAAAAAUCUGUUUUAACGAUUAUCAUGGGCUGUGCGAGCUCGAAGCACCACCGUAAGAAAUGCAUCCAUUGCCGGAGAGGAUAUUCUCCGGUAGACAUUCAGCGAAGCAAAUCUGUGCGCCACCCAUCGCAACGCUCCGACGAUAGCCCCCACAUGGUCCCUCUCAGCUCCUCCAGCUUCGGAUCUCUCAAGCUCUGCGACUACUCUUUCGGACAAGACCACAAAGACUUGCUAGACUUCAGCGGGAAGCUUGUCGCCGACCAAACGGGAGAUGGGUUUGGUCCUAAGGAAGUCAGAGAGAGGCCAGACAAGGAGAGGUCGAGUUUGGAAAUGCAGGCUAAGCUCAUGGAAGCUAAAGUAUGGUCAAGUAUGAUGAGCGGGAAGAUCCCCAAGAUUGUGCCCAAGACUCCUAUCUUGACGCCUCCGGGAGAGCCGGAGACGAUCAAUACUUGGGAGAUGAUGGAUGGGCUUGAAGAUGGACUUCGUUCACCAAACCACGUUAGCAGCUUCUCCUUUGAACUUGCUCGUGGUGGUGAUUGUGAACGUACCAAGUCGAAUUGUGAUCUAAAGCCAUUGUGGCUUCAGAUGGAGGAGGAAGAAGGGCUCGACGAUUUCGAUCCAGAGAUCAUUUCUUCGUUCAGGAAGUCUCUCCAAGAACUCCCUUCUAAUCAUCCUUUCCACAUUUCGGUUCAUGAUUUGAAACUAAACCCACAGUUUGAGUUCUCUGAUGAAGAAGAUGAAGAGGAGGAAGCUGUUGGUAAAGACAAAGUGAUACUCUACUUCACAAGCCUUAGAGGUAUAAGGAAGACAUAUGAAGAAAGCUGUGAUGUUAGAGUUAUACUGAAAAGCCUUGGGAUUAGAGUGGAUGAGCGAGAUGUAUCGAUGCAUUCGGGUUUUAAAGAUGAGCUGAAGGAGCUGCUAGGUGAUAAAUUUAGCAAUGGUGUUGGGAUCACAUUGCCUAGAGUUUUCUUGGGGAGGAAGUAUCUCGGCGGAGCUGAGGAGAUUAGGAAUUUGAAUGAAGAUGGGAAGCUUGAGAAGGUUCUACAAGGAUGCGAGAGGGUGGAAGAAAACAGAGAUGGUAAUGGGGUAGAAUGUGAGGCUUGUGGAGAUGUAAGGUUUGUGCCUUGUGAGACGUGUUCAGGGAGUUGCAAAGUGUACUAUGAAGAUGAAGAUGAAGAAGAUGAUGAUGAUGAGAGUGUAAAGGAAGGAAGAGAGUAUGGGUUUCAAACAUGUCCUGAUUGUAAUGAGAAUGGACUCAUUAGAUGUCCUCUUUGUUGUGUUUGAACAUACACAAAAAAGGGAAAACAUUAAUCUUGUUUUUGUUUGUUUUACUACAUUGGAGUUUUGAGUCGCUUGUGGGUUUUCAUGCCUCUACAGAUUUUGUUGUACAUAAAGAGGUUUUUUAUUGUGAAAAAAAAGAAGAAAAGAGUUAUAUUUUCAAGUAUAAAUUGUUGUUUAUUCUGUUGACCAAAAAAAAAUGUUGUUUAUUCUUUGAAGUUUCAUUCAUGCUUUACAUGUCGUUGGACUCAUAUAUUUGAAAAGGUAGUGGGAGUAGAGGAAGAAAAGUCAGCUUACAAAAUAUGACCGGAGAAAAAUAAGAAUCUUUCAAAAGUCAAGUUCUUGUGCUUUUUCUUUUGUCAAUAUGUCAAAACUCUUAUAUGCUAUGUUUGAAUAAUAGUCAUCAUUCAUAAAGCAUAGUUGAAAACAAAAUGUAGGUAUGUUUGUUUAAGGUAGAUUGUUAAGUUGUGAAGAUCCGAGGAUCAAGCAGAAGGCUGAUUUUAGUAGUCAGGUCCAAGAUGAAAACUUUAAUCAUAUAACCGACAUGAUUUUGAAUAUUUCAGACAUGAUUCGUUUAUCCUAGUAUUUUUGAUAACUCAAAGGUACAUGGAGACGAGCUCUGAGCAAGCAGAUUUCUACCGAGUCCGGCCUCAUGGAUUAGCCAAGGUCUCUUAGUGCGAGCUGUAGAUUAGUUUGACCACUGCGGUUUGCCAUUCGUCUUGCUAGUUCAGUUUAAGCUUAGGUGCUCAAGUCUUUUCUUGUUUUUGGUGAGUGUGUUUUGCUUUCUUUAGCUUGUACUUUAAUUGGAUUGUUAAUUAAUUAGCUUUUCUACUCGGCCCAGACCGUCUACAACUUAGCCCGUUAUGAAUUAACUAGACAAAUUUUUAGGGCCAUGGGUGUAUCAUCAUCGGUAAACUCUCCCGUGUUCAAAAAAAAAAAAAAACUCUCCUAACACUUUUAUUUUUUAAUCUUUCUCGUAAUAUCAUAAUAAAUCAGCGUUAAAAAAAAACUCUUUUAUUUUGACAAUUAAAAAAUACAUCCCUCUUACUUCUCUUUUCUAAUUUUUCAUAUUUUAUUUUUGUUUAAUAUUUUAUUAUAAAAAACGGAAGAAAAGACUAACCGUUGUGCAUGUACAUGCCUAAAAAAACUGAUAACAACAAUUUUAAAAAUGAUAGUUGUGUCCAGAGUUUCUUAUAAAGAGACUCUGGUCUCUUAUCUAGUCUCAGAGAAAAUACAGUCCUCUUGCUUCUCUUUUUUAAUUUUUCAUAUUUUUAUUUUUGUUUAAUAUUUUAUUAUGAAAGACGGAAGAAAAGACUAACCGUUUAAAAAAUAUUAUGAGCAUUUCUUAUGCUUGCAACAAUUAUUUAAGUUGCUUUUGUUUGCAAACUAUAAUUUUAUAUUAAAAUAAUAAAAUAUGUAUUAUUAUGUUACAAAUAAUAAUUUAUGUAUUUGAAGUUUUUGUCAAUAUUUUAGGACAGUGAACAAUAAUUUUAAAUUAUUUUUUGGUCUAUUUAAUUUUCAUUAUUAUUUAGAAAUAUAUAAUUUAUUACUUUAAUGGUAUAAUUGUAAUAUAUUAGUUAUUUUCUAUUUGAUACUUUAUAGUAAAAAUAAAUAUUUUUUAACUUUACCACAUCAGCUUUUUGGAUUACGUUUUUCAACCACUCAUUUUGAUAUAGACCUUGAUUGGUAGAGCAUUAGCAUUAGCACUAUGCUCUACAUUAUCCAAUCAACAAUUGUUAGAAAAGCAUUUAGAGAAACAUUUACUAAAUGCUAAUGCUCUCCAAAUGCUCUCUGGCCAAUGCUCUCAAAUGAAGCUUUUAAAAGAGCAUUUGUAUUUAUAAAUUAUAAAAUUAAAGAAAAUAUAUAAUUAAUUCAUUUAUUUUAUUUAAUAAUAUCAUAAAAUUAUUUUUAUAUCCAGAAAUAAAAUUUUUGAUUUUUAAAAUUAAUUGAAAAUAAAAAUAUUUUUAAAUAGUAUUUCACAUUUAAAAUAUAAUUUAAUUUAUAUAAUUUAAUUUACUUCAAAUGUGAAAUGUUAUUUUUAAAAAUAGAUAUUUUAAUUAUAAAAUUUAUUUUAAAAUAAUAUUUUUUCGAUAUAAACAUAAUUUUUAAAUUAUUAAAUAAAAUAAAUUAAUUUUAUUUCUAAUUAAUUUUAUAUGUUAAUAUAUAUAUAUAUAUAUUAGAAAUAUAUUCAUUAAAAAUAAAUAUAUUAUAUAUUAUAUAUUAAUUUUUAUAAUAAUUUUAAAUAGCAUACUCAUACUGCUCUACCAAUCAUCCUAUUAAACAAUUUAGCAAAAGCAUGCUUUUGCAGCAUACUCCUUCUAUAGCAUACUGCUACAGUGCUACUGCUAUUGCUAAUUGUUAUUGCUAAUGCUCUACCAAUCAUACUGCUACAGUGCUACUGCUAUUGCUAAUUGCUAUUGCUAAUGCUCUACCAAUCAAGGUCAUAUAUAGUAUUCUAAUCAAGAUGUACAGUAAACAUGUUUUCUGAUGACAUUACGCCUGAUGAUGAAUCGCCAAUGUUGAAUCUUAUAAAUUUCUCCGAUUCACCCAACCAAUAUCUUCCAUUAAUGGUAUAUUCUUCGCUUUCUCUUCCACAAUUGAAUUUUUAAAUAAUAUUGUGUUCUAAUUUAUCAAGGAUAAAAUCUUUGGAUAUAAAUGAAAUGCAGAAUAAUCUCCAAAUUUAUUGAAUGCAGACGGAAAGACGCAUGAAUAGUUUAUUGGAUUGAUCCAUGUGUAUAUGAUGAAUGAAAAUGAUCUCCUUAGUAUGUUUUCAACAGUUAAAUCUAAUCACAAAUCUAAUUAACUAGCAUUAAAUCCAGUUAUUACUACACUUUGACAUGGACCAUAAUCUAAGCUAAUAGCGCUAUUGACUGUGAUAGUGUGCUUAGAGCAUGAUUAAUCCGGGGUUUUUAGGAUGAGGUUCUUAGCGGAAGUUAAAAAACUGUUUCUUAACUUUUAACUAAAAAGCCCUUAUUUAAGAACCGGUUCUUAGCCUUUUUAAUUAAAAGUUAAGAAACAGUUUAUUAACUUCCGCUAAGAACUCUACUGUAAGAACCCCGAGUUAAUCAUGGUCUUAUAACUCAACGGUUUGGUCAUGUUAGGACCCAUGUUCUAAAACGCCGUCGUAGAGGCCAUUUACUCGCCGAGUACGCGGUAGGCGGUGAAGAACAUGAUUUAGUGUUUUUAAGUAGAAACCGAGUUGAUUUUGUGAAGUAAACGAGUUAAUUUAGUGAAGAAAUAGGUAUAAACUUUCAUGAUAACAAUGGCGGACACGCAGGAAAAUAAUUAGGUUAGGAAGAAGAAGAUUCGAAAAUUAUGUUUAUGAGUAAAAAAAGUCUAAAUGCAUGGGGGGGGAGAGUAUCGAACUUGUCUCUUGGUAGUUGUACAAGAGUGCAUUUACCAUUCUAGCAGUGAAAAAACAUUGUUAUCACUCAAUAUCGUUAAAUAUAUUACUUUAAAUUUUAAAUUUUUAAUAUAAAUAAAAAUAUAAUAUUAAAAACUAAUCUCCAAUUAAUCUCCGAAUAAACUCCGAGAUUUUGCUAACUCGCUAGGUCCAUAUCAACCGCCCGACUCACGCUUAACGCAAUUUCGAACAUGGGUUAGGACCAACACCAAACCCAUAAUUAUCAUGAAGAACAAGUCGAUUCACAUGAGUCUUUCUUACGAGAAACUCUUUUUAACGGGCAUUCAAGUGAACAACAACGUUCCUUCAGUCAAUCCAUGUUGAAUUUCCUUCAGGAGUCAAGUGUUUUCACAAUGAUAUAUAACAAUCUUUGGGAGGAUUUCAAUUUCAUAACUAUAAUAUAUUAAGUCUUUUGUCUAAUAAUUUUCAGAACCAAAGAGUGAUUGGUCAAAACCUCGAGCAAGGAAACAACGGAUAGUCCCUGUGUUGUGGCUCGUGUCUCUUUCUAUUGUUCUUUGGUGGUUGAAUACUUAGGGUUCUUCGAGGACAGUCCCGCCGUGUUCCCUCCAGGUCAUGAUGCUAGAACCUCGCUCACACUCGGAUUCACCUGUUUUUGAGGUGUCUAUUGACUUCUCCAGAUCUUCAUCUCCUUCGCAAUGCUCCGGGAUGCUUCUCUUGACUGAAUUGUUGUCUGCACUUAAUCUCUGGGUCGCGUGGCCGGAUAUGGGAGCAUUUUGACCGCCUGCGCUUGACCAUGAUACCUGCGUUUCAAAGCAAGUGUGGUCAGCUUUGAUAGUCAGGUUGUGAGCUUCCCGAGCGGUUAUUGGUGUUGU
rnacentral:lncRNA from 1 species